rnacentral:rRNA from 1 species
AGCUCCAAUAGCGUAUAUUAAAGUUGCUGCAGUUAAAAAGCUCGUAGUUGGAUUUGUGGGAUGGCCGUCCGGCGGGGGGCCUUUCAUGGUCCCGUUUGUCCUGGUUUUCGGCCUUCCCUUUCUCGGGUCUAGCGUAUUGGCUGGCAUUAGGUUGUCGGCCGCUUCGCGCCCGUCGUUUACUGUGAAAAAAUUAGAGUGUUCAAAGCAGGCUUAGGCCGUUGGAUAUAUUAGCAUGGAAUAAUGAGAUAAGGCCGCGGUGGUCUUUUCUGUUGGUUUGCCACACGCCGCAAUGGUAAAAAGGAACAGUUGGGGGUAUUCGUAUUCAACUGUCAGAGGUGAAAUUCUUGGAUUUGUGGAAGACGAACUACUGCGAAAGCAUUUACCAAGGAUGUUUUCAUUA